CUUCACGAGAUGCACGCCAGAUUUUGGGCUCCGACCCGGCGUACACACCAACCCCAUGCUUCACGGGUGGUUCGGAUGACGAAGCGGUCCUGGCAGCAGCCGCUGCCUUGGGGACAAGAGCACACG
rnacentral:ncRNA from 2 species